CAUUGAUGAGGAAAGUCCGAGCAUCACAGGGCAGGGUGACGGGUAACGCCCGCUGAAGGUAACUUUAAGGAUAGUGCAACAGAAAUAAACCGCAGCAAUCAUUGCUGUAAGGGUGGAAAGGUGCGGUAAGAGCGCACCGGCAGUUCGGCAACGAAAUUGGCCGUGUAAACCCCACUCGAUGCAAGAGUUGAAACGUAUAGUUUGCCCGACUCGUUUCGUAUCGCUUGAGCGUUUCGGUAACGAUUCGCCUAGACAGAUGACCGAUCUCGACAGAACUCGGCUUACAGACUAACC
rnacentral:RNase_P_RNA from 1 species